rnacentral:misc_RNA from 1 species
UACGGAGGAUCCACGCGAUAUCCGGAAUCCUUGGGCUUAAAGGGUCCGUAGGCGGGAUAAUAAGUCAGUGGUGAAAGUCUGCAGCUCAACUGUAGAACCGCAAUUGAUACUGUUAUCCUUGAGUAAUUAUGAAGUGGUUAGAAUAUGUAGUGUAGCGGUGAAAUGCAUAGAUAUUACAUAGAAUACCGAUUGCGAAGGCAGAUCACUAAUAAUUCACUGACGCUGAUGGACGAAAGCGUAGGUAGCGAACAGG